GAUGAACGCUAGCUACAGGCUUAACACAUGCAAGUCGCGGGGUAACGAGAGGGAAGCUUGCUUUCCUUGUCGACGACCGGCGCACGGGUGAGUAACGCGUAUCCAACCUGCCCAUUACCACGGGAUACCCCGUCGAAAGGCGGCCUAAUACCGUAUGCAGUCGUCAGAUGACAUCAGAGGACGACGAAAGGAUUGGCGGUAAUGGAUGGGGAUGCGUCUGAUUAGGUAGUUGGAGGGGUAACGGCCCACCAAGCCAUCGAUCAGUAGGGGUUCUGAGAGGAAGGUCCCCCACAUCGGAACUGAGACACGGUCCAAAACUCCUACGGGAGGCAGCAGUGAGGAAUAUUGGUCAAUGGGCGCGAGCCUGAACCAGCCAAAGUAGCGUGAGGGAUGACGGCCCUAUGGGUUGUAAAACCUCUUUUAAUGCGGGAAUAAAAUGUUUGACGUGUCAAUACAUUGUAGGUACCGCAAGAAAUAAGGACCGGCUAAAUUCCGUGCCAAGCAGCCGCGGUAAAUAGUACU
rnacentral:rRNA from 1 species